GCAGCCGUGAUGCUUUGUCUCUGAGAGGAAAUAUUUCAUCUCCUGCAGCAACACUGAGUUCAGUUCAGGCUUUGAGAGAGUUUAUCAAGCAGCGACUAACUGCUGCUGCUGGAGAAAUAUUCACCGUGUUUCAACAAACUAUCGUCCAGUUCGAGGGGGAGAUUUAUCGACAGAGAAAACUUCUGGAAAUCAACUGGAAAUCUCAAAUCAGCUUCCACAGAACAGAGAGUCCACAGCAACACAAUGGUAACCAGCAGACGAGCUCCAGCCACUCUGUGAGAGACUUGACCACCCAGAGACUAACUGCUGCUGCUGAGGAAAUAUUCACCCUGUUUCAACCAACUGUGGUUCAGUACGAGGAGGAGAUUGGUCGUUAACGCAGGAUGCUGGAAAUCAACUGGAAUCCUCAAAUCAAGUUAUACAGAGCAGAGCUCCAACAGGACCAUGACUGCCGAGAGGAGCAGGUCUUUAAACAGGAAACAAACUACUGUCUAGAACAGGACGAGCCAGAACCUCCACAGAUCAAAGAAGAAGAAGAACCAGAACCUCCA